rnacentral:rRNA from 1 species
UGGGGAAUAUUGCACAAUGGGCGCAAGCCUGAUGCAGCAACGCCGCGUGAGGGGUGACGGCCUUCGGGUUGUAAACCUCUUUUAGUAGGGAAGAAGCGAAAGUGACGGUACCUGCAGAAAAAGCACCGGCUAACUACGUGCCAGCAGCCGCGGUAAUACGUAGGGUACAAGCGUUGUCCGGAAUUAUUGGGCGUAAAGAGCUCGUAGGCGGCUUGUCGCGUCUGCUGUGAAAACCAGAGGCUCAACCUCUGGCCUGCAGUGGGUACGGGCAAGCUAGAGUGCGGUAGGGGAGAUUGGAAUUCCUGGUGUAGCGGUGGAAUGCGCAGAUAUCAGGAGGAACACCGAUGGCGAAGGCAGAUCUCUG